UACCCCACGGCUAACUACGUGCCAGCAGCCGCGGGUAAUACGUAGGUGGCAAGCGUUGUCCGAUUUAUUGGGCGUAAAGCGAGCGCAGGCGGUUUUUUUUAAGUCUGAUGUGAAAGCCUUCGGCUCAACCGAAGAAGUGCAUCGGAAACUGGGAAACUUGAGUGCAGAAGAGGACAGUGAAACUCCCAUGUGUAGCGGUGAAAUGCGUAGAUAUAUGGAAGAACACCAGUGGCGAAGGCGGCUGUCUGGUCUGUAACUGACGCUGAGGCUCGAAAGUAUGGGUAGCAAACAGGAUUAGAUACCCUGGUAGUCCAUACCGUAAACGAUGAAUGCUAAGUGUUGGAGGGUUUCCGCCCUUCAGUGCUGCAGCUAACGCAUUAAGCAUUCCGCCUGGGGAGUACGGCCGCAAGGCUGAAACUCAAAGGAAUUGACGGGGGCCCGCACAAGCGGUGGAGCAUGUGGUUUAAUUCGAAGCUACGCGAAGAACCUUACCAGGUCUUGACAUACUAUGCAAAUCUAAGAGAUUAGACGUUCCCUUCGGGGACAUGGAUACAGGUGGUGCAUGGUUGUCGUCAGCUCGUGUCGUGAGAUGUUGGGUUAAGUCCCGCAACGAGCGCAACCCUUAUUAUCAGUUGCCAGCAUUAAGUUGGGCACUCUGGUGAGACUGCCGGUGACAAACCGGAGGAAGGUGGGGAUGACGUCAAAUCAUCAUGCCCCUUAUGACCUGGGCUACACACGUGCUACAAUGGAUGGUACAACGAGUUGCGAACUCGCGAGAGUAAGCUAAUCUCUUAAAGCCAUUCUCAGUUCGGAUUGUAGGCUGCAACUCGCCUACAUGAAGUCGGAAUCGCUAGUAAUCGCGGAUCAGCAUGCCGCGGUGAAUACGUUCCCGGGCCUUGUACACACCGCCCGUCACACCAUGAGAGUUUGUAACACCCAAAUGCGGUGGGGUAACUUUAGGAACCAGCCG
rnacentral:rRNA from 2 species